rnacentral:rRNA from 1 species
UUGGGAAGUUUCCGCAAUGGGCGAAAGCCUGACGGAGCAAGACCGCGUGAGGGAGGAAGGCCUUUGGGUUGUAAACCUCUUUUCUCAGGGAAGAAGAAAGUGACGGUACCUGAGGAAUCAGCCUCGGCUAACUCCGAGCCAGCAGCCGCGGUAAUACGGAGGAGGCAAGCGUUAUCCGGAAUUAUUGGGCGUAUAGCGUCCGCAGGUGGUUUUUCAAGUCCGCUGUCAAAGACCGGAGCUUAACUCCGGAGAGGCAGUAGAAACUGAGAGACUAGAGUUCGGUAGGGGUAGAGGGAAUUCCCAGUGUAGCGGUGAAAUGCGUAGAGAUUGGGAAGAACACCAGUUGCGAAAGCGCUCUACUGGGCCGAAACUGACACUCACAGGACGAAAGCUAGGGGAGCGAAAGGGAUUAGAUACCCCGGUAGUCC